rnacentral:lncRNA from 1 species
UUCAAAGAUUAUUUUGUCUAUUCCUUAGUCUUAGGGAGGCUAUGAUUUCAACUUCGAUUAGCUGGAGACAGAUGCUCUCACCAUAUUCUUUAGUCAUCGGCCACACCACACACCCCAACUAGUAUCACAAAUAUGUGCCAUUGGGUUUAAAGAUGAAAGUGUCAUUGAAUCAACAUAAAUUCUACACAAAUUAGAAUUGUCAGCUGUCACUAUGGCAGCCGGGGAUUGAACCCAGUGGUGAUUUAUCACUGAGCUACAUCCCAACCCUUUUUAUUUUUUAUUUUGAGACAGGGUCUCACUAAGUUGUUUAGGGCCUUGCUAAGUUGCUGAGACUGGUCUUAAACUUGCAAUCCUUCUACCUUAGCUCCCAACUUGUUGGGAUGACGGGUGUUAACCACUAAGCCAGAUAUUUAAUUUGAAAAUUUCUUGUAGCCAUGUUUUUAAAAGGUAAAAUUAAACAACUAUCAGAAAUAAACAACUUAAAAAAAGAUUUAUUUUGCCCCAUGAUUUCACAGAUUUCAGUCCCUGGUUGCUUGGCCCAGUAGUCUUUGGGCCUGUGGUAAGAUAGAACAUCACGGGUGAAAAUAUGUGUAAGAGAUCUGUUCACCUCAUAAAAGCCAGGAAGCGAAAAGAGAGAGAGAAGGGAAGGAGCUGGGUCCCAAAACCCCUUCAAGGACUUGCCUCCAAUUAUCUACUUCAUCUCCUUAAGGUUCCACUAGCCACUAGCCACUAGCCACCAAAAGCACUAUCAGCUGAGGGACAAGCCCUCAACACAUGAGCUUUGGUAAAAUAGGAAUUUCUCUGCUUCUGCUGGCGAGUGGGGUCUGUGUAAGCUGCAGGUUUCUGCAGCCAAGAAAGCCUGUCCAUAGUGUUAGCAGCUAAGGCAGGGAAUACCUGCUGGUGGCAGCUCUGAAGGUCGCGGGCUCCAUUCUUCUCCAUCACCACUGAGUAGUGUGUUACAGCUCUUGAUGGCAGACAAUGCCCUCCUGUGUUAGAGCAUUGGCAGAAGUUCACUGCCAUUUUUUUUCUUUCUGAGUUCUUAUCUGCUAAUUUGAAGAAUGAAAUCCACAGACAAGGAAAAGUGAGUGUAAAAGAGGAGGAUUCGUUUUGUUGGAAAAAAAGAGAGAUCUCACAGGGAGUGAGGGGAUCUGAUAGGGGUUGCCACUUGAGUGUGCUAGUCUAGAGGUUUAUAUAGCACUUGGGUCAAUGUUAUUGAUCCAAAUUUAUGCUAAUCAGGGUUUGAAAAAGUACCAACGCUAUUGGUUCAAAUUUAUGCUAAUCUUAAUUAGGGUUUGCCCCACUUCGUUUUUUCCCAUCACUAGUGGGGAGGCUGAGU